UACGUAGGUGGCAAGCGUUUGUCCGGAAUUAUUGGGCGUAAAGCGCGCGCAGGUGGUUCCUUAAGUCUGAUGUGAAAGCCCACGGCUCAACCGUGGAGGGUCAUUGGAAACUGGGGGAACUUGAGUGCAGAAGAGGAAAGUGGAAUUCCAAGUGUAGCGGUGAAAUGCGUAGAGAUUUGGAGGAACACCAGUGGCGAAGGCGACUUUCUGGUCUGUAACUGACACUGAGGCGCGAAAGCGUGGGGAGCAAAUAGG
rnacentral:rRNA from 1 species